AUUGAACGCUGGCGGCAGGCCUAACACAUGCAAGUCGAGCGGAUGAAGGGAGCUUGCUCCUGGAUUCAGCGGCGGACGGGUGAGUAAUGCCUAGGAAUCUGCCUGGUAGUGGGGGAUAACGUCCGGAAACGGGCGCUAAUACCGCAUACGUUCUGAGGGAGAAAGUGGGGGAUCUUCGGACCUCACGCUAUCAGAUGAGCCUAGGUCGGAUUAGCUAGUUGGUGGGGUAAAGGCCUACCAAGGCGACGUUCCGUAACUGGUCUGAGAGGGUGUUCAGUCACACUGGAACUGAGACACGGUCCAGACUCCUACGGGAGGCAGCAGUGGGGAAUAUUGGACAAUGGGCGAAAGCCUGAUCCAGCCAUGCCGCGUGUGUGAAGAAGGUCUUCGGAUUGUAAAGCACUUUAAGUUGGGAGGAAGGGCAGUAAGUUAAUACCUUGCUGUUUUGACGUUACCAACAGAAUAAGCACCGGCUAACUUCGUG
rnacentral:rRNA from 1 species